rnacentral:misc_RNA from 1 species
GUAGGUGAACCUGCGGAAGGAUCAUUAUCGAGUUAGGGUCCUCUGGGCCCCAAUCUCCAACCCUUGUCUAUAUUACCCUGUUGCUUUGGCGGGCCCGUCUUUAACCGGACCGUUGGGUGGUUUACCCCCUGGCCCGUGCCCGUCAGUAGCCCCCAUAAAUUCUUGUAACAGUGGUGUCUAAGUCUCAAAAUAAUAACUAAAACUUUCAACAACGGAUCUCUUGGUUCUGGCAUCGAUGAAGAACGCAGCA